rnacentral:rRNA from 1 species
UACGUAGGUGGCGAGCGUUGUCCGGAUUUACUGGGCGUAAAGGGAGCGCAGGUGGUUUAUUAAGUCUGGUGUAAAAGGCAGUGGCUCAACCAUUGUAUGCAUUGGAAACUGGUAGACUUGAGUGCAGGAGAGGAGAGUGGAAUUCCAUGUGUAGCGGUGAAAUGCGUAGAUAUAUGGAGGAACACCGGUGGCGAAAGCGGCUCUCUGGCCUGUAACUGGCACUGAGGCUCGAAAGCGUGGGGAGCAAACAGG